GAUGAACGCUGGCGGCGUGCCUAAUACAUGCAAGUCGAGCGAACAGACGAGGAGCUUGCUCCUCUGACGUUAGCGGCGGGCGGGUGAGAAACACGUGGAUAACCUACCUAUAAGACUGGGAUCACUUCGGGAAACCGGCGAUAAUACCGGAGAAUAUAUUGAACCGCAUGGUUCAUUAGUGAAAGACGGCUUUGGUGUAUCUACUAGAGGGUUACGCGCCGCAUUGGCUAGUUGGUAAGGUAACGGCUUACCAAGGCAACGAUGCGUGGCCGACGGGAGAGAGUGGUCGGCCACACUGGAACUGAGGCACGGUCCAGACUCCUACGGGAGGCAGCAGUAGGGAAUGGGCCGCAAUGGGCGGAAGCCUGACGGAGCAGCGGCGCGUGAGUGAUGAAGGUCUUCGGAUCGUAAAGCUCUGUUAUGAGGUAAGAACAAAUGUGUAAGGAACUAUGCACGGCUUGACGGUACCGAAUCAGAAAGCCACGGCUAACUACGUG
rnacentral:rRNA from 1 species